rnacentral:rRNA from 1 species
AACGAACGCUGGCGGCAGGCUUAACACAUGCAAGUCGAGCGAGACCUCCGGGUCUAGCGGCGGACGGGUGAGUAACGCGUGGGAACGUGCCCUUCUCUACGGAAUAGCCCCGGGAAACUGGGAGUAAUACCGUAUACGCCCUUUGGGGGAAAGAUUUAUCGGAGAAGGAUCGGCCCGCGUUGGAUUAGGUAGUUGGUGGGGUAAUGGCCCACCAAGCCGACGAUCCAUAGCUGGUUUGAGAGGAUGAUCAGCCACACUGGGACUGAGACACGGCCCAGACUCCUACGGGAGGCAGCAGUGGGGAAUCUUAGACAAUGGGGGCAACCCUGAUCUAGCCAUGCCGCGUGAGUGAUGAAGGCCUUAGGGUUGUAAAGCUCUUUCAGCUGGGAAGAUAAUGACGGUACCAGCAGAAGAAGCCCCGGCUAACUCCGUG